rnacentral:lncRNA from 1 species
AGACCCCGAGGAACGCCCCAGGGAGAUCCCCGUCGUCCGGACCCGAACCGAGCCGCGACGGCCCCGAGGCCACGGCUAAAAAAAGUUACUUACCGUAACAACUUGUAUUGCUAAAACUCUUCGGCAAGAAUUUUUAUUUUUCAGUGAAUAGUUCUUUUCUCAUUUAAAGGUUAAUUUUAUAUAAUUUUGAGGUAUUUUAAUCACCAAGAUCUUAUGCUUGUUUGACAGGAAUCUAAAUACUCAUUCAUUUAUAUGCUUUAGAGAAAAAAAAGCCAAUUUUCUUGAUAGGAAAAAGUCAAAACUUUUUCUUUUUUUUUUAAUUAGGGAAGAGUGGAAAUAUAUGGCCACAGGUUUUGCUAAGGACAAUUUUUUCCCUAAUUAGCUUCUGAAACAAGGCAAGUUUAAUUGAAAGAAAAUAACGUUUAUCAAUAAAUCUGCAUGAAAAAAAAGAGAUCACAAAAUAAACUGCCUGCUUUUACUUCUUUUGUGAAAUGGAGACCACUUACUACGGUUUGUUGAUGACUUCUCCACUAACUAGAAUGUUUUGUUUCGCAGCCUUCCGCCCUAUUCUGCUGCUGAUUUCUUGUUGAUGAGUGCUGUUUGGAUCCAGCCAUCCUAUUUCUCUGCUGAUAUCACUCUGAUCCAUCUUGAAGUAUCUGCUCCAUCGGCACACCCUUCCCUGUCCACGCUGUCGCCUUCGCUGACGUCUUCUUGGCAGCGAUCGGCAGGAGGGAUACUUCUUUGCGGACGGCUCGCGCGUGGAUCGAAAGGCCGGCACCGGUUCUUAGACUCUGGACAAAAAGCAAGAACUAGUCAACAAAACCGUCGCCGGGCGCGAGAUGGUGGUGAGGUGAAAGAGCAUCAAUGACUACCGACAGAAGAACUCCGGGUGGACGAUGUACGAAUACGAGAUGUGUUCUUCCGGCUUAUUUGACAUUUGUUUUGACGGUGGUGCCGUCGGAGGUGGCCUGAUGCAAGAUCUUCAGAGAACUCGUCUCUCGAAACCGGGAAGAACACAUCUCAUCUCGUCUAUCGUCCACCCUCUUUCGCCGGCCGUCGUUAAAGGAAAGUCAGCUCUUUCGUCCCACCCACGAUCUCGCACCCAUUCGUAAAAGGAAAGCCGACCGAUUUCUUGCUUUUUUACAGAGUGGAAGAACCCAUUCGUAACCUUAGGGUUUGAAAAACCUAUGAGGCUCGGUUCUUCCGGGGCCGAGAUGGGCUGCCGGGAUGGACUCGACCCAAGUUCUUGCUUUUUGAACGUGGACUCAACCGUUUUGAUAGAACCGGUUCCGGCCUUUCGCUAUUCUCGGGCUUACGCUCCACAAAGAAUCCCUCUUGCCGAUCGCUGCCAAGAAGAUUCCACGGCUCGGUGCCGUAGAUGUUGGUGAAGGCGAAAGCGCGGCCAGGGAAGGAGGGGAUUGUCGGCGACCUAGUUGGUGAGGUAGUCGACCACGAGUUCCUUCCCACGAC